GGUUGUAUAGGAAUACAAUACCAGACUCAAUAUUCAACUAUGGAUCUCCUUAUGGGGGACCUCCAUGCCUUCGUUCUGCUGUACCAUACUAUGCAGAUGUGCAUUUCAUUGCUAUUCCCAGUAGGGCUGGAUACCUUUUGGCUUGAUCAGGUUCAGAUUAGUGUACUUUUUAUGCCUUUUUGUCAGUGACUACCAAGCAGAGAGGAGAUUAAAAGCAGUUUUAUACUUAUUCAGAGAAAAUCCUACACGUAAUUCACUGCACACAAGGCUAUAAUGUUACAUGCAAAUCAAACAACGCCAUCUAGCGAGCAAGGUUAAACUGCACUCUCGAGAGAGUUGAGGCGAGAACUGGCGAGAACUCGCUAUGUUUUGAGUAGAGAAUCCAAGAUGGCGGCCUGUUUGUCGCCGACCGCUGAAUUUUUUUCCUGCAAGACCGCACAAAUCGCCUCAAAGCUGGAAAAAUGGAUUGAAUACACGUACAGAAGAAGAAAGAAAUGUUGUUUGUCCCAUGGUAAUUUUUUCUGGAUGCGGAUUCUUCAUUUUGAGUGAAAAUUUACCGGAAGAAUUGAGGAAUUUUCCACUCGAUUCCUCGUCGGUCGGCCUCAUGCCAUGGUAAAAUUUGAUGAUUUUUCGUAGCACA